UUUUUUUUUUUUUUUUUUUUUUUUUUCCCCUCCACCGACUGACUCCAGCGUGUGCAUUGUGUAAGCUCCUCGCCGAGCCGUGUGCCCUCCCAGGAAAGGGCUGCAGGACGUGGCACUCUCUCCCCGAGCCCCCGAGCCCCUGCCCGGUUCCGGAGGGUGCCCAGCAGCCGGGCGGGGCUGAGCGCGCAGCCCGGGCCGGGCAGGGCAGCGGGCACCUCGGCACCUUCUCUGCCGGCCAGCUCCGAGGGCAGCUCUCAAGUUCCAAGUGCCCUCGCUGCCUACCGUUGUCCUUUCCAAAGGCUGCGGACCAAGCCUGCCUUCCUCGGCUCGGGGCAUCGGCGGCGCAUCGGUUGUCCCCUGGCACAGCCCCUCGGAUGGGGCACAACUCUUACUCCAAAACAACCUAGGGGUCUAAAAAAACCCCUCAGAGCCCAAACCCUCUCUAUUCCCUCGGCUAUUUCUUUCUCCUGCUCCAGCUCAUAGCUCCCUUCCCCAGUUUCCUGCUGGCUCCCAGGACCACUCCGUCCUCUGGGCAGCGGCUGGCCCCCCACCCCUGCCCUGCCAGCACAGCGAGCUGUCCUGGCUGUCCCACAGAAAGCGACCAGAGACAGGCAGGGAGCGAAUGCCUGUCCCCGGUCCUGGAGCACUUGGCACAGCUUUGGGGAGCUCCUUGUGCAGCUCCCCGGAGCCAAGAGCCCGGUGCUGGGAAGUACUGCUCCUGUCACAAGAGUCAGGCAGGGGGCAUGUUACCAGCAGAUAUGUAAAUUGAGGCAGAUCCACGUUUGAACUUCAAAACUUCACAGGUAGCAUGGGAUUUUGAGUCUGAGAGACUUGCUUUGAUUUUUGGUCCACCAGCCAUAAUAACAGCCAGGUCCUGAACAGUUAUUGUCACAGUUGUUAAUGAUGCUUGUGAUAAUAAAUACUGCUAUUAAUAUCCUGCCAGUGCCCAGCCAACAUUUAGCUACCUAGUGGUAGGUGCUCACCUUAAAUGCUGGUAUCUAAAAAAAUUUUCUCCUGGAUUGCAACCAGCCAGGACAGAACUGGGGACUGAGCAAGGCACCUAGAGCCUAUCUUCCCUAUAACCCGGUUGCCCCUGAGAUGUUCUGGUGGAGAGCGUCCUGCCUUUGCUUUCUUCUUCCUUUAUCCAGGAGCAUCAGUGAUUUUUUUUUUUUUCUUUGCAAAUGCCUAAUUCAGCAGGUCCUUUGAGGUUCUGUUGCAUUUUUGGGACGAAACAGCAAUCCCACUUGGACCGGCUCCAUCUUACAACGAAACAUCCUCCCAUUUUCAAGCAUUUUAUACAUUUUGGAGGACAAAGACAUGACUGUUAAUUUUGUACAUACUGUUAUUCAAAGCAGAAGCUCUGUGUUUGGAAUACAAUAACCCAGGCAGGGCACAGCAAUCUCUGUUGUUGUUUAUUUAACAAAGGGACCUCAGGAAACAUGGUGAGCACAGCCAGCAAGCCAUGGCAUGUGCAACAUGCCAUGGAUGGGCUCUGUCUGUGCAUGUGAGCCUGGACAUCUCUGUGAGCACACAGGAGAGCACAAAUCAUGGGCCACAUAUUGUGCUAGGUGCUGUACAGAGGACACAACAGAUCUCCCUGCCUUCAGAGGCUGGUGGAUAGAAGAGCCCAGGCAUCUGGGAUAGGAAAGGUGCAAGUGGCUGUGAGACAGCAGUAGGGGAGGGAUGGAGCCCCCAGGCUACAUCAGGGAUAAAGAAGACCAGUACUUUGGGCAAGUCAAGGAGGCAGAACAUCCAGCCUUCCUGGUCUGGCCAGUUUGCACUGUGAGCUUUGAAGGCCUGGCACUUGGAGCAGCACCUUGAGGCUUAAAAAUUGACAAUGGUCAAUGCAGCCUGAUGCAUGGUCCCACAAAUACACUGCACCAAACAGAGGAUGCAUUCCCAAAGGGACAGUGCACAUCCCAGGAAGUCUUCAAAGGGUCUGAGCUCAGCCAUAGCUCAUGUGUCCAGAUAGGAUUAUGGAUGAUGACACCAUGGAACAACCUAGAACUGGACCAACAAUUCAGCACCACCCAGAGAUAAAACAAAGAAGUUCAUGAAUUCACUGGUGAAGAGGGCUUACCAGUCAUUUUGAGUUAGUCUGGACUAGUUGAUACAACUGAAAAAGUAAACAAACCUCUCCUUGAAGAGACUGUCUUGAGCCAUGUCCUCAUACAGAAAGAUAUUUAAAUACUAGCUGCUUUAUGCUCAAAUCGUAGUGGAGCUGUUAAUGAAAUGAAACAUCAGAGGAAAUCUCAGAGGUGGCAGCUGGAACAUUGAGACUGCUGUGUUUUUAGUAGCACUUGGACAGGUAGGAGUUUGCUCAUAUAUGGGAAAUUCUGCUACCCAGAAUGUGCUGUAAGAGCAUCUUUUCACUGGAAGCUAAGACGUUAUUCUCCCUCCCUGCAGGUCCACCAGUUGAUUUACAGAGGGAGCUGACCAAGGGCAUCUUCAAAUCUCAGUGGAAAAGUGUGACAUGUCCACCUGAAAGUAUAUGCCUGCAAACACCACUCUGCUUUCCAGAUUGCUCAGGAUGAGCAACAGAAAAGCAUUUUUUAGGAUCAGUUGUUGACUAUAGUUCCACACACUUGUGAUGCUACCAUGUGAACAGAGCUCUGUCUGAAACAGCUCUCCCAGGGGAUUGCUCCGCAGCUCCUCUGAGCAGCCUGGAGACUGCAGCAGAGGUGCCAUGCAGCUCUUCAUCUCUCUCUCCAGGUGAUUUGGUCUCUAGUGCCUAUCUCAGUGCCAUCAAUCAUUCUACUGCAUUUACUGAACCAUCCAGAACUUGUGAGAUAAAGCACUGUACAAAUCAUUCUUCAGGAAAAUAAGUGGUUCAGUAAGGAAUGAGAACUUUCCCACUGAUGAGUUUGCAAAGACCAUAAGAGACUUGGCUAGACUCCAGAAUCAAAGACGCCAGAGAAGAUAUUUUGUAGUUAGUAAAUCACAGGUUAGCACCUGGCUCCUGACAGCAAUUAUAUUAUCCUCAGGAAUGGAUUUAGAUCAGUGGGGUAAAUCCUUUCCACUCUUUUCUUAGGUCAGAGUUUGCUUUGUUCCUCAUAUUUCCCAUGAGCUACUUCCAAGGAUACCUUACAGUGGCUGAUGAACAACAGGGAUGAAUACUCAGUAACCACUUUUGCAUCCGGCUGAGAAUGUUUCACCUCCACACCCUGUGCAGUGGCUCUUCGGUGCCACUGCCUCUGAUUUCCUUAACAGAGUUACUUAAGUGCAGCUGCAUAAAUGCAGUUGUUACAGCUAAGGAACUUAGUUCAGUGAGCAACUAUUCUCCAGGGGUUCCCCUGUCUUCCUCCUGGUAUUGAGAAUGCCUCCAGCUGCACUGGGGCUGGUGUUUCCAGACUGCCUCAGUUGCGAUGGUUUCCAGGGCCUGAUUCAGACAGACUCACCAAGAUACGUCCUGCAGCAGGAGAUAGCUCUUAUCAUUCAGGGCUUGCUCCUCUGCUCUGACUCUGAACAGGGGUUCUGCUCAAGCAGCUGCAAUAUGUCUUCUAUGCAGGUCCUGCAGCUGAUGGGAGAAUUCCCAUCCUUAUAUUGAUACCAUAAAUUAAGGAGUUGCACAUGAGUGGUUCAGACAGGUCUUUGCAGAUCACCUCAAGUAACGAGAUGAAAUAGGAUGUUGGAAUGUGACAUCUCAAGUCCACACAAGCACAGAGAAGAGCCCAAUAUACAGCAGGGAAGGCCUCAAGCAAUGUGAGACAGGUUUGGUACAGUGCCAAGGAGCUCACUCACUUAAUGUCAUAAGAAGGGUUAUCCUUCUGUGCCCUGUGCUUUGAAAUUGUGAGAUUGAAGAACCAACAGAGACAGACAGCAAGCUGGUUUCUGUGUUGAUCCCUGUGGCUGGAACCAGUUUGGCUCAGCUGCCCCAUGAUCCUCCUUAAAGCCCAGAUCAGCAGUGAUAAAUAGUGCAAAAAGGAGAACUCCUCUGACCAAUGCUCUGAGAUCAGCUGGCACUUAAAACUGGCCACACAACUCUUCAAAAAAAAAA
ensembl:lncRNA